GCGGGAUUAGUACACCGGUAGUAUGCUACCUUCCCAAGGUAGAGAAAGGGGUUCGAUUCCCCCAUCCCGCU
rnacentral:tRNA from 1 species